rnacentral:rRNA from 1 species
GAUGAACGCUGGCGGCGUGCCUAAUACAUGCAAGUCGAGCGAACAGACGAGGAGCUUGCUCCUCUGACGUUAGCGGCGGACGGGUGAGUAACACGUGGAUAACCUACCUAUAAGACUGGGAUAACUUCGGGAAACCGGAGCUAAUACCGGAUAAUAUUUUGAACCGCAUGGUUCAAUAGUGAAAGACGGUUUUGCUGUCACUUAUAGAUGGAUCCGCGCCGCAUUAGCUAGUUGGUAAGGUAACGGCUUACCAAGGCAACGAUGCGUAGCCGACCUGAGAGGGUGAUCGGCCACACUGGAACUGAGACACGGUCCAGACUCCUACGGGAGGCAGCAGUAGGGAAUCUUCCGCAAUGGGCGAAAGCUUGACAGAGCAACGCCGCGUGAGUGAUGAAGGUCUUCGGAUCGUAAAACUCUGUUAUUAGGGAAGAACAAAUGUGUAAGUAACUAUGCACGUCUUGACGGUACCUAAUCAGAAAGCCACGGCUAACUACGUG